CCCGCAGGCGAUGGUGAGCGUGAAGCUCGUCGCGGCGGAGGGCGUGGGGACGAUCGCCGCGGGCGUCGCCAAGGCGACGGCCGAUCAUAUAACCAUAUCGGGACACGACGGCGGCACCGGGCCUCGCCGCUCUCCUCGAUCAAGUACGCGGGGUUGCCGUGGGAGCUCGGGAUCGCCGAGGCCCAGCAGGUCUUGGUCGAGAACGACCUGCGCGGGCGCAUCGUCCUGCAGACCGACGGACAGAUGAAGACGGGGCGCGACGUCGUGAUGGCGGC
rnacentral:misc_RNA from 1 species